UACGUAGGGGGCAAGCGUUGUCCGGAUUUAUUGGGCGUAAAGAGCGCGUAGGCGGCCAGGCAGGUCCGUUGUGAAAACUCGAGGCUCAACCUCGAGAUGUCGAUGGAAACCGUCUGGCUAGAGUCCGGAAGAGGAGUGUGGAAUUCCUGGUGUAGCGGUGAAAUGCGCAGAUAUCAGGAAGAACACCGGUGGCGAAGGCGGUUCUCUGGGCAUUACCUGACGCUGAGGAGCGAAAGUGUGGGGAGCGAACAGG
rnacentral:rRNA from 1 species